rnacentral:lncRNA from 1 species
UGUAGCUCGGCAUGUUCAUUAGGGUUCAACCUAUAGUGGGGCAAGUUGGGUAGGAUAGAUCCAGAAACUAAAUCAAUGGCAUGUUGAAUGUUUCUCAUAGGCGGUAAGUAAUCUGGAAGAUCCUCAGGAAAGACAUCAUGAAACUCAGUAAGAAGGCUACCUACUUCCUUAGGAUAAUCCACCUUAGAAUCCUCACGAACUUCUCUAGCAACAAGCAUCCAAACUGGUGAUCCUUCACUUAUGGUCGUCUCUAAUUCUUUAGCACCUAUCAGAUUGAGGCUUUUCUUCUUAAGAUUUUCUUUUGGUCCAUCGCCUAUCUUUCUAUUAGUAGCCUUAGGUGGGGAAGGAUUAAUCAUGAUCUUCUUACCCUAAUGAGUAAAGCUACAGGAGUUGGUAUGGCCAUAAAUCGUAACAUCAUUGUCGAAUAGCCAAGGCCGACCUAAUAUGAUACUUCUGACUUCCAUGGGUAAGACAUCACACCACACAUGAUCCUGAUAGGAAUGAAGCUGGAUGGGUACACGGCAUCUAAAUUUGAUGAAAAUAGAGGAGGAAUCAAUCC